rnacentral:tRNA from 3 species
GGGGCCAUAGCUCAGCUGGGAGAGCGCCUCGCUGGCAGCGAGGAGGUCAGCGGUUCGAUCCCGCUUGGCUCCACCA